rnacentral:rRNA from 1 species
CCUACGGGGGGCAGCAGUGGGGAGUAUUGCACAAUGGGGGAAACCCUGAUGCAGCAACGCCGCGUGAGCGAUGAAGGCCUUCGGGUCGUAAAGCUCUGUCCUAAGGGAAGAAUACUGACGGUACCUUAGGAGGAAGCCCAGGCUAACUACGUGCCAGCAGCCGCGGUAAUACGUAGGGGGCUAGCGUUAUCCGGAAUUACUGGGCGUACAGGGUGCGUACGCGGCUCUUCAAGGCAGAGGUGAAAGGCUACGGCUCAACCGUAGUAAGCCUUUGAAACUGUAGGGCUUGAGUGCAGGAGAGGAGAGUGGAUUUCCCAGUGUAGGGGUGAAAUGCGUGGAUAUUGGGAGGAACACCAGUUGGGAAGGCGGCUCUCUGGACUGUAACUGUCGCUGAGGCACGAAAGCGUGGGGAACUAACAGGAUUAGAUACCCUUGUAGUC